CGGCUGCUGCUCAGAGAGCACGAAGAGUCCCGUUUGGACAGCAGGAGACAGUGGACAGACCAGAUGAGUUUUAGUCAAGGCCAAAAACCAGUUAGACCACAACAGGUUUUAAUUUGAUGCAGCUUUCUCUCUUUUUAAGGGGUGAUACACCUACGGUUGAUCUGCAGAUGAAAAGUUACAAAACUGCGCCUGUUUUUAGUCUUCAAUGCUUUUUUAAAGCGCUCAGUCCUGCGCUGCAUGAACGCGUCACGCAGCUGCUGUUUUUUGGGGUGUAUAAUACCAAACCCCGCCCCACGCGGGUCGGGGUUGUCCUGCUCCCCUCCGGGAUGUGUUUACGCUCCUCCACGCGACAGGCGCGUGGCAGCUGAGACGAGGAGUGGAGCAGCGCGAAGCUCCUCGGUUCUCCGGGACCGUGGAAGCAGAACGCGCGCGGAAGGAUUCUGGAAGUCCAGUGGGCCUGUUCUGGUGCUGAAAUCUACGCAGUCUUUAUCUAGAAAUGAAUUGCAGUUGCAGACAGCAGAACCAGCAAAUGGACCGGAGAACAGACUUCUGGACUCCCGGCUGCACGGUGCACACAGGCCGGUUGCAGCUCCGCUUUGUUUCCUGAAUCCGAACCUAUUGGCAGUGAGCGGGAAUAUCUUGGAUUUUUCGAGGACCAAAAAUAAAAUAAAAACUUUGGGAAAGGUUUUGCUUUUUUUGACAAAGCUUGGUUGACAAUCUUCUAUGCAAAGCAUGAGGUUGGCAGUGUGAAAACAGUUUCAAUAAGAUUUAGCAACCAAUAAUUGAUUUAAAUACACCUGUGACAAAAUGCAAAAAGCAUCCCCACUUUUUAUUUAUUACUUAUGUGUUUUGGUCCCACAAAGGCUACAUUACAAUUAAGGAUUUCUUUGGUGGAGCAAAUAUUCAGCUCCCAAACUCUAUUACAAGUUCCAUCUAUCUAAUAGCAGGAAUAGUUCUGUGCUCAAUGUCUCUUUAAAUUAUGUUAAAUAUGCUUAAAGUAGCAGAGAUAUUCAGAAUUGUUCAUACCAAAAUAUUCGCCUAUAAACUGUUGGAUUUGUGUGCAUGUAAUGGAAAAAAUAAAAAAAUAAAAAAAUAUAUAUAUAUACACACCGA